rnacentral:rRNA from 1 species
UGCAGAAUCCCGCGAACCAUCGAGUCUUUGAACGCAAGUUGCGCCCGAGUCCUUUUGGCCGAGGGCACGCCUGCCUGGGCGUCACGCUAAACACGCUCCCACUCUCCCUCAUCCGGGAGCGGGAUGCGGCAUGUGGUCUCCCGUCUCGCAAGUGGCGGUGGGCCGAAGAUAUGGCUGCCGGCGUAUCGUGCCGGACACAGCGCUAGGUGGGCGUUCUCGCUAAAACUUACCGCAGUGCAUCCGGGGCGUAGCCGACACGAUGGCCUCGAACGACCCUUUGAACGGUGCGCAUGACGCUCCGACCGCGACCCCAGGUCAGACGGGACUACCCGCUGAAUUUAAGCAUAUAAAUAAGCGGAGGAGAAGAAACUUACAAGGAUUCCCCUAGUAACGGCGAGCGAACCGGGAACAGCCCAGCUUGAGAAUCGGGCGGCCAUGCUGUCCGA